rnacentral:rRNA from 1 species
CCCUUAGAUGUCCUGGGCCGCACGCGCGUUACACUGAUGCAUUCAACGAGCUUAUAACCUUGGCCGAGAGGCCUGGGCAAUCUUGUUAACGUGCAUCGUGAUAGGGAUAGAUUAUUGAAAUUAUUAAUCUUGAACGAGGAAUUCCUAGUAAACGCAGAUCAUCAAUCUGCAUUGAUUACGUCCCUGCCCUUUGUACACACCGCCCGUCGCUACUACCGAUUGGAUGAACUAGUGAGGUAAUCGGAUCGGCUGCAAUCUGCCUUCGGCCGCAAGGUCGGGCUCUUGCGGCGGAGAAGACGCCCAAACUAGCUUAUCUAGAGGAAGUAAAAGUCGUANCA